rnacentral:rRNA from 1 species
UCAAGCAGAAAGGGCACAAGGCGGAUGCCUUGGCUCCGGGAAGCGAAGAAGGACGCGGCCAGCUGCGAUAAGCCUCGGGGAGGAGCAAACAUCCUUUGAUCCGGGGAUUUCCGAAUGGGGAAACCCGCACAGGUGUUGAGCCUGUGCACUGUCAUCUGAAUACAUAGGAUGCCAGAGCAAACCCAGGGAACUGAAACAUCUCAGUACCUGGAGGAAGAGAAAUCAACCGAGAUUCCCUCAGUAGCGGCGAGCGAACGGGGAUAAGCCCAAACCGUCGGGUGCGCCCGGCGGGGUUGUAGGACCGUCAACGAAGUGGAGUACGAAGGUUAGCUGAAGUGUCUGGGAAGGCACGGCAUAGAGGGUUAGACCCCCGUAAGCGAAAGCUGGAAGACCUGCGAGACGGCACCUGAGUAGGGCGGGACACGUGGAACCCCGUCUGAAUCUGGGGGGACCUCCCUCCAAGGCUAAAUAUUACCCGGAGACCGAUAGUGAACCAGUACCGUGAGGGAAAGGUGAAAAGCACCUCGAACAGAGGAGUGAAAUAGUUCCUGAAACCUUGUGUCUACAAGCAGUGGAAGCCUUUAGGGGCGACCGCGUGCCUUUUGCAUAAUGAGCCAACGAGUUGUCCGUCGGCGGCUAGGUUAAGCCAAUGGUGUAGCCGCAGCGAAAGCGAGUCUGAAUAGGGCAUUCAGUCGCCGGCGACAGACCCGAAACCGAGUGAUCUAUCCCUGUCCAGGUUGAAGCCUGGGUAAGACCAGGUGGAGGACCGAACCAAUGUGCCUUAAAAAGUGCUUGGAUGAGGUGGGGAUAGGAGUGAAAGGCUAAUCAAACUCGGAGAUAGCUGGUUCUCCCCGAAACCUAUUUAGGUAGGGCCUCGCGGUAGGCCGCCGGAGGUAGAGCACUGGAUGGACUAGGGCCCCCACCAGGGUACCAAACCCAACCAAACUGCGAAUGCCGGUAAGUCGGUCCGCGGGAGUCAGACGGCGGGAGCUAACUUUCGUCGUCGAAAGGGAAACAACCCAGACCGUCAGCUAAGGCCCCCAAGUCAUGGCUAAGUGGGAAAGGAAGUGGGAACGCCCAGACAACCAGGAGGUUAGCUUAGAAGCAGCUACCCUUUAAAGAAAGCGUAAUAGCUCACUGGUCAAGCGGGCCUGCACCGAAAAUAUAACGGGGCUCAAGCCAUGCGCCGAAGCUGCGGAUUGUCUCUUAGGAGACAGUGGUAGGGGAGCGUUCCCCGUGCGGCGAAGCUGUGGUGGAAACCAUGGUGGAGCGCGGGGAAGUGAGGAUGUUGGCAUGAGUAACGAAAAUGCGGGCGAGAAACCCGCACGCCGAAAGUCCAAGGGUUCCUGGGCCAGGUUAAUCCGCCCAGGGUUAGUCGGCACCUAAGGCGAGGCCGAAAGGCGUAGUCGAAGGAAAACCGGUUCAUAUUCCGGUACUUGCGGUGACGCGUGAUGGAGGGACGCAGGAGGAUAGGUCGGCCGGGUGAUGGAUGUCCCGGUUUAAGACGGUAGCCGGAAGCUUCAGGUAAAUCCGGAGCUUCAACGGCGAGAGUCGAUGACGAGAGGCUUUGCCUCACAAAGCGAUUGAUUCCACACUGCCAAGAAAAGCUUCUAAGCAUAGUCACAGCAAACCGUACCCCAAACCGACACAGGUGGACUGGUAGAGAAUACCAAGGCGCUUGAGAGAAACCAUGUUAAGGAACUCUGCAAAUUAACUCCGUACCUUUGGAAGAAGGAGUGCCCACAAAGUGAAGGGGCUUGCCCCUGGAGCUUAGCUGGGUCGCAGUGACCAGGCCUGGCCGACUGUUUAGCAAAAACAUAGCACUCUGCAAACUCGCAAGAGGAAGUAUAGGGUGUGACGCCUGCCCGGUGCCGGAAGGUUAACAGGAGAGGUCAGCUUACGCGAAGCCUCGAAUCGAAGCCCCGGUAAACGGCGGCCGUAACUAUAACGGUCCUAAGGUAGCGAAAUUCCUUGUCGGGUAAGUUCCGACCUG